rnacentral:rRNA from 1 species
CCUACGGGAGGCAGCAGUGAGGAAUAUUGGUCAAUGGGCGCGAGCCUGAACCAGCCAAGUAGCGUGAAGGAUGACUGCCCUAAGGGUUGUAAACUUCUGUUAUAAAGGAAUAAAGUGAGGCACGUGUGCCAUUUUGUAUGUACUUUAUGAAUAAGGAUCGGCUAACUCCGUGCCAGCAGCCGCGGUAAUACGGAGGAUCCGAGCGUUAUCCGGAUUUAUUGGGUUUAAAGGGAGCGGAGAUGGGUUGUUAAGUCCGUUGUGAACGUUUGCGGCUCAACCGUAAAAUUGCAAUUUAUACUGGCAGCCUUGAGUUCCGUUGAGGUAGGCGGCAUUCG